GACGAACGCUGGCGGCGUGCUUAACACAUGCAAGUCGAACGAAGAGCGAUGGAAGCUUGCUUCUAUCAAUCUUAGUGGCGCACGGGUGAGUAACGCGUAAUCAACCUGCCCUUCAGAGGGGGACAACAGUUGGAAACGACUGCUAAUACCGCAUACGAUCUAAUCUCGGCAUCGAGGAUAGAUGAAAGGUGGCCUCUACAUGUAAGCUAUCACUGAAGGAGGGGUUUGCGUCUGAUUAGCUAGUUGGAGGGGUAACGGCCCACCAAGGCGAUGAUCAGUAGCCGGCCUGAGAGGAUGAACGGCCACAUUGGGACUGAGACACGGCCCAGACUCCUACGGGAGGCAGCAGUGGGGAAUCUUCCGCAAUGGACGAAAGUCUGACGGAGCAACGCCGCGUGAGUGAUGACGGCCUUCGGGUUGUAAAGCUCUGUUAAUCGGGACGAAAGGCCUUCUUGCGAAUAGUGAGAAGGAUUGACGGUACCGGAAUAGAAAGCCACGGCUAACUACGUG
rnacentral:rRNA from 1 species